UCAUCUUAAUCGCUGAAUCUGUAUAGAACGGGGGAACCAAUCUGUAGCUUAUUAUCGCUACUUGGGGUGAGUCCUUUAUUUUAAAGGUAGGGUUACUUUUUGACCCGAAUCCGACAGCUAACCUCGUAAGCGUUGAGAAGAGGGUGA
rnacentral:sRNA from 2 species